UUUUGAAAUAUAAGAAAAACACUAAGGUUUGUAACUAAACUACUUAACAACUCUUAUUUUAAAAGAAAAAAAACAAUAAUGUAAAUGUAAUGAUGUAAAUUCAUCUUGUUACUUUGAUAUGUUUCUGGAUUCUGGUAUCAAGAUCGGAGUACUAGUGAAUUCGAAUGGCUCAACAAAUUCUCAUUCAAGAUUCAUGGAAUACUUUAUCCAAUUCAAUUGUUAUGUUUGGUAUUUCUGUUCCUAUUUUACAAUAUCAAAUAAAUUUAUGGUUUCAUGACAGAAGCUAUUUAGAGCCUAUUUCAUUCAUAUUAUAAAUUGAAGUGAUAUCAAAGCCACUCACUGAUAGAGAUUAAAAUUAAUAGGAUCAAUGAAGUUAUUUAUGAAAGUUAUAUGAAGCUGAGCAUUCCUGAGCCGAACUGUGGUCUACAGUAAAUAAGUAAAAUUGUAUGAAUCAAACAUUAAAUUACAACUUAAAUUGUAUGAAAAGAUGGAUUUUCGAUAACCGUCGUUCCUCCAAUAACUCAACAAGUGAAUUGGAAGAUUAAUCAAACGAGCGCAAAGGGGAUGAGGGCUUGGAGAGGGCACGUUUUGGCGAGAGAGGCGCGACUGAAAUAUAUGGACGCAAUGAAACCCAAGCGAAGUUAAUGUACGACCGACAACAAUGUUAGCAUCUCACACAUUUAAGCACACGAUGUCGACGCUGACUUUGGAUAUGGUGGCUGGCAGGCAAUUGCCUCAAUUACUCCCCAUGGGUGUUCGGACUGACGUAACAUGGUUUCCAAUUUCUGCCAGGUUAUUCAUUCAUCACGGACGCCGUCAUGCACAGAGAGAACGACGACGCCGCCGCCUCAAAUGCUGGAACCCCCCAAAUGAUUGAUCGUUUACUUCGGAAAUUAACGGUCGUCAACUGAUGCGUUAAUAUGCCUAUCGAUUAAGAAGUCAAAAUUAAAUGGAGAAAUACAAUAACUUGCAAUAUGGAUCAUGUCAGACCAAAAAGAAGAGCUACACAAAAGCUAGACACUGAAGAGUUAUUGAUCACAACCCAAUAAAGUUCUUCGACAACGUAAAAUGUUAAACAGCUCUAAAUGCCAGCAGGAAAGAAAAAUAGAUUUUCAGGAUCGAAGUAGUUUCAAAGUGACAAUGUGAUCGUAUUGAAUCGAUUUUUGAAUAAAGUACGCGCUACCUCAUUAUUCCCGAUCCACUGUGGUCGUCUCCAAUCGAAGAGAACCUUCAACACACCGAGGGGUUAGUUAGAGGGAUAAAGAACUUUUUUUAAGACAAAAAAAGCCACCCUGUCGUCGGUCUUUCCGACGUAAAACGCAAAUUGGAUGGCAAUCUCAUUAGUGUAAAGGCAGGCCUUUCACCAUUCGAGCGAACCGCUUGCUAUCCAAUUAAGAAAUUCAUUUCACGCGAAAAAAGUACCUAUAUCGAUGUAUGUCAAUUCGGUGAAUCCCACAAAAACGUUUCUAACAUAUUUCGAAUAAAAUUAAAAAAGAAUUAAGCGAAAAAGGUAGGGUGACAAGAAAAUAAAUGGUGAGUGCACAACAGCAUCUACAACGACGCGACGUCGACGGUGUUAAAAUUCCCGAAACAAAGUGCGUCAAGUCAAGAAUUUCCCAACUAUUCGCAAUUUGCCGCCCCACUAAUUAGCGAGAUUACACGGAAAAGAGCUCCCCCCCCCCCUACACUUCAUCUCCCCCCAUCUGUGACAAAUCGUUUCUCGCUUCCCCUUUCCGUUACGUCACUUCAAUGCCGAACUUCGCCUUCACAACCUCCAAAGAGAGAAAACGAGUGGGGCACCAAAGGGAAUGUUGGGCAAGGAAGGGAUGAAAAUCACCGUUAUUAGGUGUAAGUGGGGAAACGUUGAUUGCUCUAAAAUUUCUGCUAAAUAUCAAAAAUCAAAAAAAAAAAAAUUUGAUUCUUUUCUGAGAAUCGAUGUGGGAUCGUGUUUAACAAAUUUAAUCAUUAGGUCAAACGAGAAAAACUAGAACCUACCCCAACCAUCUCGUAAAUGUAUUGAGAGGGGGCGUUGUAUGCAGUUGCAUGCUGUGACCUGGAUACUAGAGAGAUUGUUGCGCUGGUCCGAACAGAACACCGUUCUACGUGGGGGGGUUGAAGAGACGAGGGAAACACUCCCCACCUAUAUUCGAAUAAAACAUCAUUCUCGUCGAAAAAUCCCUCUUUGAAGUGAACGCUAUACGUCUCCCGGUGGCGCUUUCUAAUUACUCGUCGCUUUGGGCAGAGGGUGGUUUAUCCCCCGAAAAGGGUAAGAGAAGAGGAACGCGUUGAAACCUUGGGGAGUUACUAAAACCCCGCUGGAUUGUGGGUCGUCCUCUUGGAAAGACGUGCUUCCAACUGAAAGGGCGAGAUUUUUUAUGUAAAUCCGAUAUGGUGACGAUAUUCAGGAACAUGACCCAAAAAAAAGUCAUUUUAAAAGUAUUAUCUCCUCAAACGAUUAUGUUCUUCUUAAAUGGAUUUACUACAUAAUAGCUUCCUAGUACCCAAUUGGAAUUCCUUGGGAGUAGGGGAGCACGAUUUCACUUUCACCCAUUUACCCUAAUCGAUAGCAGCCACCCCACAGAAGAAUAUAGCCCAAAUUUAGUUCCAUUACGUUCGAAAACUUAAUCUCCAAUGGUGGUCACGUAAGGGAUUCGUGAGAAGAUUUUCGAUGAAUCUCAGAGGAAACUCAUUCCACGGUUUGUAAUUCAAUUUUUAUUUAAAUCUAUGUACACAAAAUAUUCAACAGAUAUUUAGAAACAAAGAUCUGAAAUUUUUAUCAUUUCCCCAUUUUUAACCAAAGCACGAAACGUAUAUUCAAAUAUUUAUUCAAAACUGAAUAUAAAAGAGUAAAUGUUAUUAAUAAUAAGUGUUGGGUGAUUUAUUGGAAGCAGUAACAUUCAUGUUCCAUAUUCAUGUUCCAACAGGAUAACACCCGACCUCAUAUCGCCCACAUGUGUCAGAACUUCCUACACGAAGAAGAAGUACAAGAAGUACCCUGGCCUGCUCGCUCAAGCAGCAAACACCUUGCAGGAACUUCAUCGUUAUCUACAGCAAGCCUGGGAUGAGAUUCUAUAAGAUAUUUCAGAACAUGCCUCGCAGAAUUAAACAGUGCAUAAACAAUCGUGGGAUCUUUUUGAUUCAGCUCUUUCGAAGUGUUGCAAUUUUUUUGACACGUAGUUUAUUUAUUGAACUAGAACUACCCAUGCGUGACGUCACGAUCGGGCCGUCGAGCUGUGCACCUUCGUAUUGUGCAAUAAUACAAGAUAUAGAACUUAGAUGGUUAAGUAUCAGUUAAUUGGAACUUUCUUUAUCGAAGGAAAUUUAACAGCUGAUACUACUUAGGUAUGUAGUUGAUUCAAUAAGUCUACAUUACAGCUCAUUUUGGCUGUUAAAAAAGUUCGGCGUUAUCUAAAGCAUUUGCAGGAUAAUGGAUUAGUAAUAUUGGAUGAGUCACCUAAUCUCAAUCCUAAAGACUACUUUUAUCGAGCAUACUUAAAAAGUCGAGUUUAUGAAACUAAUCAUGAAAGUGUUGCAGAGUUAAGGCAACGAGUUAUCAAUAAAUCACGAUUAAUUUCCGUACUGCAUCGAUGAGAGUAUGUUAAAUUAACAACACAACAUAAUGAACGCUUAAUGAAGUAGACGUUAUGUAUUUUAGCAAUUUAGUUGUUUAAAUUAGUUAUAAUACAGUUGGGCUGCAUUUAAAAUUUGAUUGAAUUCGUAUUGAAACAUAAAUUCUAAUUAUAAAACUAUAUACAAGGUGUUACAUUUAAAAAUUCAAAAUGAUUAGAAUAGUAUCAAGUGAGAAAGCAAACUUAUUGGAUUUGUCCCCCACAAAUACGCCAAAACUGAAGUAUAUUGGCUUGGAUUCUUAAUAAUUCAUCUUCAUUACCAUAUUACCAUAUUGCCAUAUUACCAUGUUACCAUAUUACACGAAGCAAGGUUAAUGAAAUGGAAAUUAAACUAUUUCUGAUUUAAAAACAAACAAUUCAAUUAUAAUAUUAGAUAGACCGUGAUUUUAGAUUUGAAUCGUGUGUGUAAUGAGUCCGUAAUCGACGAAUAACGUCCUCCGGGCUUUGAAACUAAUGGAUUUCCGAUAACAUUGUAAUGAGGUAAUUCCCCAAUUAUUGUUAGGUGGAGUCCACGAUCUGCAUCAUACCUGCAAAAUUUCAUUACCCUAUCAAUCGGCGAUUCUUGUCUAUCGCGACAUCCACCUUUAAAGCAGAAAGGGCGUUCAAUUUUAUUGGAACUUCUGCGGCAAAUUUAUAUCGGAUAAUCGGAUUAUUCCGAUUUCCAUAGUACUCGAAAACAUAUCCCGUCUUGAGAAAUAACAUUUCAAGUUUUGUUUUGUAAUUCGUUGUGAACCUAUGUUAACUGGGGAUAAAAUUUAAACAAAAGCGUUCAUACAGGUUCCGCAGCUCGGUCCAGCCCUUGUCACAUACCGUGUCAAUCAAUAUUUCGGCGGCGGUGGCACACGUGUACGUGUCCAUUGUGUCACGGGUGUGCUUCGUAGAAUGGACCUCGGUUUAAUUCACAUGCCAUGGACAUAGUGUAGGCGGGGAGAGAAACUUGCGUCAUCCUCCACUGAUUUUAAUGUUGCAUAAUGAUAAUGUUUUUUUUUAGAUUAUCAAAUUAGUAUCAUAUUAAUAGCUUUCUUUUGGUACGAUUAAUCAAUACAAGAAAAUUAUACGCUAUGUGGUGUAUAGAUUUCACGUAGUAGGAUAAAUCGGGACCGAACAGAACAGCUUCCGGGAAGUGCACAAACCCUGGGGCCAGUCCAAUAUUGCGCAUUGUAAUUAAUUAUUGAUCGGCACGCUGCAAUUCCGAACGACGACGACACCUCUAAACAAGUACAAAAGAAGAAACCGUGAAGUUAUUGACUUAGCUUUAAUUAUUAGUGUGUUGGUACAUUUUAGUUAUUAUCAUAACCCUCUCGUAACAUUAUAUCAAUAUUUCAAUUAACACUUCGCAGAGAUAUUCCAUGUAUAUUUAGGGAUAAAGCCUUAUACGUCCAGUAAUUAUUAGCGUAGUGUAUAUGUGUCGUAAUUGCUGCGGAUAAGCUAACCCAGUUUCAAUAUAAACGGUUUGAGGAGAGAUAUAGAUGAGAGUUAUUUCUCGCUGCGUCGACACAAAGUGUUUAAUAAUUAUCAGAACGAUUGAUUCGAAUCAAUGCAUCCCUAAGCCUACUUCAAUAGAAUUCCGUGAACUAUUCCAACCCUGUUUUACCCAUACAACCUAUUCGGUGUAUUUUGAGUAGCGAGGUAUUGUCAAUAGUGCAUACCUAAUGUUCGAUUAAAGUCCUUCAGAACAACAACUACACCAGUAACAGAUGUAUAAGUGGAAUUCGUACAUAUACAAUAAAUACAUACAUGUUGUAAGUUGUAUUUACUUAAAGAUAGUUCUUAAUUUUGGUUGUUUGUUUAUUUUAAAUCUUAAUCGUGGUAACAGUUUUUGAUUUAGUUUCGAGAGUUUCUUUUCGACACGUCUUCACGUGUACUUUUUCAAGUCCUCCGGGCGUUGAUUGCCCGAGAAAGUAAACUUGGCGAGAUUACGGCGAUUUCGACGAGCUCGAAAUGGGAAUUCCUACGGGAAAGUUAGCCGGGAUUGUCUCGUUUGAGAAUUUAAAGGCGAAAGAAAGCGAACGAGAGACAGCGCCGCGUCGAACACGAAAAUAAAGUCGCCCCAUUGCCAAUUAAAUUACGAAUUUCACGGACGCUUUUCCGCUUUUCUCUUUACAAUUGCACAUCUUUUUAUUUUCUCAAUGUA
rnacentral:lncRNA from 1 species